rnacentral:lncRNA from 1 species
CCCUGAGCACAUUUUGCACUCAGAUUAAUAACCACUUUAUCAUCACAAGCCUUCCUGGGGCUGCCCAUUUAGGGUUUUUGUUUUGGUUUGGUUUUGUUUCUUUCAUAAAACAGGGUCAGCAUGGUUCUCUCUAGCAUUUGUAAAGAAGUACAUGAAUGAUCUGUCCCCUUUAUUCAGAUCAUUCAUUUCACAUUUGGAAGCUGGCCUUAUUUUCAGUAAUCAGGCUGGUACAUAGAAGCUGGCUGGUGUAAGUGGUCUGGUUGGGGAUUUUUCUGGUUUUGGUUGUUUUUUUCAGUAUGUGAUUCCAGGCGGGUCGAGGGGAGCUGGGGUUUGCUUGCAGUCAGUGCUCAGGAGUGCCAUCAGAAGGAGAUCUCCGGCAGCGCUUGCGCUGUUUCCAUAUCACAAACUGGGAGCGCAACCCACGGCGCUGGGCUCGGUGUGAGGCUCCUGAGAUGAGUGUGUGCAGAGACCUGGGUUAGCUGCCUCUCGCCACUGCAGGGGGCUCCCAGCUGCUGGAUAGCCUCUCCUCCUCUCCUGCCUUCACUGCUAACUCUGCUGGGGCCAAGUCAAGCUGCCCAACUUCUCAACGGUGGAGAGUGCCAGCAUGAGCAACGAGGGGCCAGAGAAUCCCAUCGCAUCUACACUGACCGAGGGCAUGAAGAGGAAGAGGGGGAGACCAAAGAAGAAGCCACAGGAGGAUGGUGGAAACACAGCUGUUAUCCCACAGGAUGGUGUGGAACCACAGCCAGUGAAGAAACCACGAGGAAGGCCAAAAGGAAGCAAGAAACUGACUACUAUAACUGGGGGAAUGAAAGAUCCUUCUGCUGGGAAAAGGCCAAGAGGGAGACCCCGCAAGUGGCCUCAAGCAGUGGUCCAAGAAGGAGAAUCUGAGGGUGGGAAUCCUCUGGAAAGCAGUGACUCGAAUUUGAACUCUGCACCAGCCACACAAGGUUUGAAAUUAAAUAAUUAUAAUUACACGAGACUAAACAGUGGAGCCAGCGCUCUGGCCAACCAUGCACAAGGCUCUAGCACUGGCUGCAAUCGUUCUGGUAAAUCCCAUAAACAGAGGAGCAUUUGGAAAGUUUUUCUUCCAUCUAAUUCAGUUGUGACUGCUUCAGCAGAAGUGGAGGUAGGAAAAAAGAAGAAAAUCUGUCUGUCUGUCUUUCCAAGAAGUCACACAUCUGAGGUUCUGGUUGCUGGUAGAGGUACAGCUCAGUGA